UCCUGGUGGCUCAGAUGGUAAAGCGUUUGCCUAAAAUGCAUAAAACCUGGGUUCGAUCCCUAGGUCAGGAA
rnacentral:tRNA from 1 species